rnacentral:rRNA from 1 species
UACGUAGGGUGCAAGCGUUGUCCGGAAUUAUUGGGCGUAAAGAGCUCGUAGGCGGCUUGUCACGUCGGAUGUGAAAGCCCGGGGCUUAACUCCGGGUCUGCAUUCGAUACGGGCUAGCUAGAGUGUGGUAGGGGAGAUCGGAAUUCCUGGUGUAGCGGUGAAAUGCGCAGAUAUCAGGAGGAACACCGGUGGCGAAGGCGGGUCUCUGGGCAAUAACUGACGCUGAGGAGCGAAAGCGUGGGGAGCGAACAGG